rnacentral:rRNA from 1 species
CCACCUACCUCUCCCACACUCUAGAAAAGUAGUUUCAAAUGCAGUUCUGUAGUUAAGCUACAGGAUUUCACAUCUGACUUACUUUCCCGCCUACGCACUCUUUACGCCCAGUGAUUCCGAGUAACGCUUGCACCCUCCGUAUUACCGCGGCUGCUGGCACGGAGUUAGCCGGUGCUUAUUCGUUAGAUACCGUCAUAAUCUUCUCUAACAAAAGGAGUUUACAAUCCUAAAACCUUCAUCCUCCACGCGGCGUUGCUGCUUCAGGCUUUCGCCCAUUGAGCAAUAUUCCCUACUGCUGCCUCCCGUAGGAGUCUGGACCGUGUCUCAGUUCCAGUGUGUCCGAUCACCCUCUCAGGCCGGAUACCCGUCAUAGCCUUGGUGAGCCUUUAC